GACGAACGCUGGCGGCGUGCUUAACACAUGCAAGUCGAACGGAAAGGCCCUGCUUUUGUGGGGUGCUCGAGUGGCGAACGGGUGAGUAACACGUGAGUAACCUGCCCUUGACUUUGGGAUAACUUCAGGAAACUGGGGCUAAUACCGGAUAGGAGCUCCUGCUGCAUGGUGGGGGUUGGAAAGUUUCGGCGGUUGGGGAUGGACUCGCGGCUUAUCAGCUUGUUGGUGGGGUAGUGGCUUACCAAGGCUUUGACGGGUAGCCGGCCUGAGAGGGUGACCGGCAAAAUUGGGACUGAGAUACGGCCCAGACUCCUACGGGAGGAAGCAGUGGGGAAUAUUGCACAAUGGGCGGAAGCCUGAUGCAGCAACGCCGCGUGCGGGAUGACGGCCUUCGGGUUGUAAACCGCUUUCGCAUGUGACGAAGCGUGAGUGACGGUAAUGGGUAAAGAAGCACCGGCUAACUACGUG
rnacentral:rRNA from 1 species